AUUGAACGCUGGCGGCAGGCCUAACACAUGCAAGUCGAACGAGUGGCGGACGGGUGAGUAAUGUCUGGGAAACUGCCCGAUGUACCGGGCUAACUACUGGAAACGGUAGCUAAUACUGCUUACCAUCGGAUGUGCCCAGGUGGGAUUAGCUAGUAGGUGGGGUAACGGCUCACCUAGGCGACGCUCCCUAGCUGGUCUGAGAGGAUGACCAGCCACACUGGGACUGAGACACGGUCCAGACUCCUACGGGAGGCAGCAGUGGGGAAUCUUGCGCAAUGGGCGAAAGCCUGAUGCAGCCAUGCCGCGUGUAUGAAGAAGGCCUUCGGGUCGUAAAGUACUUUCAGCAGGGAAGCGUUACCCGCAGAGGAAGCACCGGCUAACUCCGUGCCAGCAGCCGCGGUAAUAC
rnacentral:rRNA from 1 species